UGGCCUCUGGCAGGACUGGGGCUGUGCAGCCCUGUUCUGAGCGGGAGGUGCAGCCAGGGGUCACCAUGCCUUGGGGGGCAGGGCACAGAAGGGGGAGUUCCCCAAAUGUGGGGAACUCAACUGCAUAAUUUGUGGUAAUGGGGGAUUGCAUUUGUCAUUUCCCUG
rnacentral:snRNA from 1 species